UCAGGAUGAACGCUAGCGACAGGCUUAACACAUGCAAGUCGAGGGGCAGCAUAAAAGUAGCAAUACUUGGUGGCGACCGGCGCACGGGUGAGUAACGCGUAUGCAACCUACCUAUCAGAGGGGAAUAACCCGGCGAAAGUCGGACCAAUACCGCAUAAAACAGGGGCACCGCAUGGUGAUAUUUGUUAAAGAAAUUCGCUGAUAGAUGGGCAUGCGUUCCAUUAGGUAGUUGGUGAGGUAACGGCUCACCAAGCCGACGAUGGAUAGGGGAACUGAGAGGUUGGUCCCCCACACUGGUACUGAGACACGGACCAGACUCCUACGGGAGGCAGCAGUGAGGAAUAUUGGUCAAUGGGCGGGAGCCUGAACCAGCCAAGUCGCGUGAAAGGAAGAAGGAUCUAUGGUUCGUAAACUUCUUUUGCAGGGGAAUAAAGUGCAGGACGUGUCCUGUUUUGUAUGUACCCUGAGAAUAAGGAUCGGCUAACUCCGUGCCAGCCGCUGC
rnacentral:rRNA from 1 species